CCAAGACUGGUUUCUGUUUAUCAUGGAAAAGAGCUCAAGAGCUUGUGCAAUCAGAAAACACAAAACAUCAAUAAAUGGAGGAUGCCUGUAAGAGAAUGCAUGCCAAGGUCUGAAGGCACUUAGAGAACUAUCAGGGGCAGCAGGUCUUGGAUUCACCUGAGAAGAUUCAAGAUCUUUUGAAAAUCAGCCGAAAGAUGAGGAACCGCCUGCCACCAAGAGG
rnacentral:lncRNA from 1 species